rnacentral:tRNA from 1 species
GACUGCGUAGCUCAGUUGGCAGAGCAUUGGGCUAGUAUUCCAAAGGUUGUAGGUUCGAUUCCCACCAUGGCCA